UGGGACUGAGACACUGCCCAGACUCCUACGGGAGGCUGCAGUCGAGAAUCAUUCGCAAUGCGCGAAAGCGUGACGAUGCGACGCUGCGUGGAGGAUGAAGGCCUUAGGGUCGUAAACUCCUGUCAUUUGGGAAAAAUAGUACUUUAGUUAAUAACUAUAGUAUUUGAUGGUACCAAAAGAGGAAGCCACGGCUAACUCUGUGCCAGCAGCCGCGGUAAUACAGAGGUGGCGAGCGUUGUUCGGAUUUACUGGGCGUAAAGGGUGCGUAGGUGGUCAUGUGUGUCGGGUGUGAAAGCCCACGGCUCAACCGUGGAAUUGCAUUCGAAACUGCAUGACUUGAGUGUAGGAGGGGUAAGCGGAAUUCUUGGUGUAGCGGUGAAAUGCGUUGAUAUCAAGAAGAACACCGGCGGCGAAGGCGGCUUACUGGAAUACUACUGACACUGAGGCACGAAAGCUAGGGGAGCGAAGAGGAUUAGAUACCCUCGUAGUCCUAGCCGUAAACGGUGCACACUUGGUGUGGAGGGAAUUGACCCCCUCCGUGCCGGAGCUAACGCGUUAAGUGUGCCGCCUGGGGAGUACGGCCGCAAGGCUAAAACUCAAAGAAAUUGACGGGGGCCCGCACAAGCGGAGGAGCAUGUGGCUUAAUUCGAUGCAACGCGAAGAACCUUACCAGGGCUUGACAUAUACCUGCACGCCCCGUGAAAGCGGGGAAGCCUUCGAGGGUGGUAUACAGGUGCUGCAUGGCUGUCGUCAGUUCGUGCCGUGAGGUGUUGGGUUAAGUCCCGCAACGAACGCAACCCUUGUGUUUAGUUGCCACUCCCAGUGUUAAGCUGGGAAGCACUCUAGACAGACUGCCCGUGCAAGCGGGAGGAAGGUGGGGAUGACGUCAAGUCAGUAUGGCCCUACGCCCUGGGCUGCACACGUGCUACAAUGACAGGUACAAUAGGAAGCAAAACCGCGAGGUGGAGCCAAUCCUCAAAACCUGCCUCAGUUCGGAUUGGAGUCUGCAACUCGACUCCAUGAAGUUGGAUUCGCUAGUAACGGUGUAUCAGCUACGACACCGUGAAUACGUUCCCGGGCCUUGUACACACCGCCCGUCACAUCAUGAAAGCCGUCUGCACCCGAAGUCGCUGAGCCAAUCUUUUACGAGAAGGCAGGUGCCGAAGGUGUGGGUGGUGAUUGGGAUGAAGUCGGAACAAGGUA
rnacentral:rRNA from 1 species